GUGAGAAGCGAUGGCCCAGACAGCCACCCACUGGAGUGGAAGCCAGCAUGGCAGGCAGGAUGGGGCCUCAGUAUGACAAGCAUAUAACAACCUUGGACUGUUGGAUCCUGCCAGCCACCUGGAGGGCCUCAGGGAAAGACUUGGGACCCUACCCGGUGUCAACGGAAGGACUUUUGCCUGCAGGUUUACAGUAAUUGGUUUACAACUGGGCUAGAAGAAAAAUAAAAUGAAACAAAAUGUUCCUGAGUAUCCUGCACUACCUAAGGAGACCACAACAUUUCCAUGCUGCACUAAAGACACAUCUUCCAAGGUCAAGAGUUAAAGGUGACCUAAGCCAUUUUGGAAACCUGCCUCGUGAUAAACAUGGAACCCAGGACACAGUAGGUAUGCAAGUGCUGGUGUUGAGAGCUAACCUAAGGAUGACUGCCUUUCUUGCAACAUCUCCAGUUCCAUGUUAAUGUGCCCAGGUCUUUACCUAAUGGACAGUUUUAUCUUGUUUUCUGUUUUGUUUUCAUUUACUUUUGCUCUCUGGAAGUAUUUUUUUAAUUAGAGAAAGCGUUGACAUUAGUAAUAAGGUUUAAAUCUGGGAAGAACUUCAAGACAUAAGGUUUAGGCAAUAACUAUGCCAUGGACCACCUUGUGCACACGUGUGCUUGCACCCUGAGGAAAGUCCCUUUAUGCUGAAAUUCAGAAAGUACUUCUUAAUCAUGUAGUUCUUAGAAAGCAGCCUCCUUGACUAGGAAAGAACACAAAGUUUGGGAAACAGACAUACACUAGAAUAUUUUAUUUUACUAUCUCAUGGGCAUGGGUGUUUUGCCUGCAUUUCCUGGUGCCCACAGAGCCAGAAGAGGGCAUCAGCUUCCCUGGAAUUGGAGUUACAGACUGUUGUAAGCCACUAUAUGAGUAUGGGAACAAAACCCAGGUCUUUUGGAAGAGCAGCCAGUGCUCUUAACCUCUGAGCCAUCUCUCCAGCCUCUACACUGAAAUAUUACUGGUCCACCUUUGACCAGCUGGGUAACCAAGGCAAAUUAUAGACUUCACAGUCUCCUGUCUGAGGAACAUACCUCCCUGCAGAGCUAUCUCAAAUAUAUUUAUUUAUUUAUUUAUUUAUUUAAUGUGGAUGAGUGUUUUGUCUGCAUGUAUUUAUAUGUGCCAUGUGGGCCUGGUACCUACAGAGGUUGGAAGAGAGCAUCAGAUCCCCAUGGCACCAGAGUUGUGUGUGGUUCUGAACCAUGAUGUGAAUACUAGGAACCCAAACUGGGUCCUCUGCAAGAGCAGCUAGUGUCCUUAACCAAUGAGCCAUCACAUCUCUCCAGUCCUUAGCCCAAACCUUUAAAUAAGGUCACUUUCAUUAAAAAAGCUCAGCACUGUGUAAGCAAAACUGCCCAGAUAGAUCAGCUGCAAACCUUCUUGAAUUGGCAUCACAUGGCCAAAUUAAUUUGUCCAAGGGACAGCAAUAGAAACCUCAAGGGAAGUACUGCUCCCCACAUACACUUAACCAGCAGGACCAGAAGAGGUCAGAGGUCUAGGGGAUUAUCAGGAAAGGAAUCACAGUCUCCACUUCCCUACAUGGCAGAACUACACAGGAUACAAAGGUUGCAGAGACCAGGAAUUUCUAGUUAUCCUUGCACACAGAGCUGCAGGGAGCCUGCUAGUGCCAGGGCCAUCUGAGAAUGCCACUUUUAAUUCAGUGCAGCUGUGCCAGCAAUUCAAUCCAUAAAUAUUCUUUUGAUUCUUUAUUUUCUAUUUCUUAAUCUCCACUCUUGCAUUGCUAUCUUACAAUAGUUUUUACUAUUGUCAGUAAAUUACUCAAUUAGGUUUUAGGGUUGCUAUGUAAAUUUCUUUACCCAGUCUACCACAAGGCAUUCUUUAAUAUACCUUUCAUCCAUAUCUCAUGUACUCCCUCUCAUUCCUAUGCCUCUUUCUCUCUUUCAUCACUAUCCUCCUCCUCUUUUGACCUCUUGAUUAUAACCUUCCACAGCUUUAAUUAUUUCUAAACAUCGUAGACUAUGACACUACCCCAGCUGUGUCCUCCCAGCUACUGUACCCACCCAACUUUCCUUUUUGAAGUUGAUCUAGUCCUUAUCCCUAUUCCUUCCACCCGUGAUCUUAUUGACUAAAAUCUGAGUAUGCUCCAUACUAUCCUUAUUUAUCUUCCAACAAUUAUGAAGUCAAAGGAGCCACUGCUGUUAAUAGGCUAGUGGCACAUUUGCAUAAUGGUAAUAUCCAAUAGCUAUGGCUGUUCUUACAUUUAGUAUUCUACUAAGAGACUAAUACAGAGUCUUCAUCAGUCACCCUGAGUUUCUGGACUGAGGAAUUAUUUUCUGAACUGCUUCCUCAAUCCUACCACUUCCAAGUCCCACUUGAACAUUGCAAAUAAUUCAAUUGAAAUAGUAUAGAUGAUAAAAAAAAAACAAGCAAUGAAAUCCCAACUCACUACCAUAAGAAACAUGUUGUGGGAUAAUCUUUUUGUCCACUAUGAAGAUAUGUGACUCUGAUUGGUUUAACAAAAAGCUGAAAGGUCAAUAGCUAGGUAGGGUUUCUGGACCGAGAGGAAACUGGGAAGAAGGAGGCAGCAAUGCCAGGAAAUGCAGUGCAAGCAGAAUGGGCACUGUGGAGAUGAGGUAAUAAAGACACAAGGCAGAAAGUAAGUUAAUAGAAAUGGGUUACUUUAAGUUAUAAGAGCUAGUUAGAAACAAGCUUAAGCUAUUGGCCAAGCUUUCAUAACUAAUAGUCAGUCUCCAUGUCAUUAUUGGGGAGCUGAUGGUCCCAAUGAGAAAGUCUGACUACAGAAACAAGAAAAACCAAAGCACCAUAACUCUUUCAGAAUUCACUAACCCAAACUAAUGGCAUUUAGUGAGAGUGUGGUAGAUGAAAACCAAGGCAGAGAAUACAAAAGAAUAAGGGUAAAUAUAUUCAAAGAAAUGACAAAGAAAAUAAGCUGCUGGGAGAAACAGAAACAGCUUCCUGAAAGAAGGUAAGAAAGAGGGAUUCCACAAAGACACUGAAAAAAAAACUGUAAUGCUGAAAAUGAAAAUAUAUAGUAAGUCAGAUAAAAAUCUCUAUGGAAAGUCUCACUGGUCAAAUAGACCAAGAAGAGGACAGAAUGUCAGAGCUUGAAGACAAGGUGAAGGAACUAGAGCCAAACAAGGACAAAGAUAAAAUUAUAAGAAGGUACCAUUAGGAAUUCCAAGACAUACAUGACAGUCUGAAAAGACCAAAUCUAUAGGUUGUAAACACAGAACAAGGAGCAGAAUCUCAUUCUAAAAGCAUAGAAAACAUUUCCAAAUGAAUCUUAACAGACUCAGGAAGAUAAACACCAAACAAAAUACAAGAGACAUUUAGAACAUCGAUCAGACAAGACCAGAAAAUAAACUCCUUUCAUCAUAUAGAACAAGAAAAGUAUAUUAAAAGCAGCAAGAGAGGGCUGGAGAGAUGGCUCAGAGGUUAAGAGCACUGACUGUUCUUCCAGAGGUCCUGAGUUCAAUUCCCAGCAACCACAUAGUUAUGAGAUCUGGUGCUCUCUUCUGGUGUGCAGAUAUAUGGAAGCAGAAUGUUGUAUACAUAAUAAAUUUUAAAAAAUCUUUUUUAAAAAAAGCAGCAAGAGAGAAACACCAAUCCGCAUAUAAAAGCAGGCCCAUCAAAAUAACUGCAGCUCAUUCAACUGAAAUUAAAAACCAAAAGGGCUUGGAAUGAUCUAUUUCAAGUUCUGAAAGACAACUGUCAACCCAAACUACUAAAAUGGUUCUUCCAUUGGAUACAGGUUUUAACAAAUAGAGUAAAAUGAAAUGAUUAUUUAAUUGUGUCUGAUCCCCAUGGAAUAAGAGUACCAACCAAUAAGAGAAACCUUAUCAUAGAGACAAAUCCAUGAAAAUUAAACACACACUGUUGAGUGAUGAAUGAGUCCUUGAAGAAAUCAGGAUAUAAGUCUUAAAAAUUCAUAGAAUCAAAUGAAAGUGAAAACACAACAUGCCAAAAAACCUGUGGGAGCUAAUGAAAACGAUCUAAGAAGCACGUUUUUAGUUCUCUAAGUACCUACAUUAAAAAACAAGAAAAAUGGCUAACAAAUAAUGAUAUACCUUAGGACCUUGGGAAAAGAAGAAAAAGCCAAACUCCACAUCAAUAUCUGGAAAGAAAUCAGUAAUCAGGACAUAAGUUAAUUAAAUGGAAACAACAGCAAUAUACAUAUACGUUUACAUAUAUACAAAGAAUCAUCAAAACCAAGAGUUGGUUCAUUGAAAAGAUAACAUUGACAAAACCUUAGCCAAAUUAACUGAAAGAAAGACACAUACAAAUUAAUAAAAUUAGAGAUGAAAUGAGAGCCAUUACAACAGAUACCAAUGUAAUUUAGAAAAUCAUUAAGUUUUAUCUUGAAAAUAUAUACUCCAAUAAAUUAGAAAUUUGUAAAAAAAAAUGGAUUUUCAUAUACCCACAACCCACCAAAAUUAAAAUGAAAUGAG
rnacentral:lncRNA from 1 species